rnacentral:rRNA from 1 species
GUAAUGUCUGGGAAACUGCCUGAUGGAGGGGGAUAACUACUGGAAACGGUAGCUAAUACCGCAUAAUGUCGCAAGACCAAAGAGGGGGACCUUCGGGCCUCUUGCCAUCAGAUGUGCCCAGAUGGGAUUAGCUAGUAGGUGGGGUAACGGCUCACCUAGGCGACGAUCCCUAGCUGGUCUGAGAGGAUGACCAGCCACACUGGAACUGAGACACGGUCCAGACUCCUACGGGAGGCAGCAGUGGGGAAUAUUGCACAAUGGGCGCAAGCCUGAUGCAGCCAUGCCGCGUGUAUGAAGAAGGCCUUCGGGUUGUAAAGUACUUUCAGCGGGGAGG